AUUUUAUUUAGAGACAGUAUCUCACUGAGUUACUUAGCACCUCACCCAUUGCUGAGGCUGGCUUUGAACUUUUGAUCCUCCUGUUUCAGCCUCCUAAGCUGCUGGGAUCACAGGUAUGCACCACCAUGCCUGGCUAAAAGUUUAAAUUUCUGAAAAGAAAUUACUUAUUUGACAUAGCCAGUAGAAGUGAGCCAGAAAUAAUGGAAGAAAAAUUAAGACAAAUACAAAAAUGAAUACAAUUUCAUUACAUUAGAUUGAAAUACAAUUUCAAAUACAUUUGAAUGUUAAACACUGAGGAUCCACAGAUUUACCUUGCAUCAGACAAGUUGAAUUCUCUCUUGCUUGAUCUCCAGAAAUGACUGUCCCCACAAUCUCCUUCCCCUCCAUCUAUGACUUCACACUGCACAUUCACUUCAUAAUUUUGUUGCAAUUUAAGUUGAAGACCUUGAAAAUAACCCUUUGAGAGAUGCCUGAUUUAAUAUAAAAAGAUCUUUUGAGAAGCUGAGGUAACUUUUUUCCAAAAGUUCAUAGUUCUGAAUGGGAAGUUGUGAGUAAAAAAACAGUAUCUGCUUUAGUUCAUUAGUUCACUUUGGCCAUGUUUAUUUGGUUGGCUUUUUCUUCUGGUUUCACAAACUGGACUGAAAGUGCACUGUUACUGUAUUCUCAUUACCCUUGGCUUUAAGUAGCACCUUCCAGUAUGCUGGUUUCUUUUAUUCUCGACUGCCUCAAGAAUAGCAGUGGAAGAGGAGUAGACUUAUUUAAAUUACAUUUCAUUUUGGACAACAUUUCACUGUAGUGUUUUGAAUUCAAUAUAACAAAAUGUUGCAAGAUGUCUUCGCAACUCUAAUUCUUGUGUGUUUGCAGACUAUUGAGUACCUUCUGUGUGCCAGGCAACUAGGCUAGAAGCAUGGAUAACACUAAGGGUGAAUUGUCUAGGCCACCACAGUUGAUUGAACUGGGACUAGAACCAGGCAAAUUCCAUACCAUGCUGUUCUUUAAACUUCCUUGAGACACACUGAAAUAGAAGCAGCAACACUUAGGUUUUCCACAUAAGUAAAAUGAGCCUACUAAGAAUUCCUGUGAGACUUAGCAUACCAGAGAAGAGGCUAGUUUGCCAAAAUAAGGAUAGGAAAUAAGAGAUCUGUAGAAAGAAUGCUCCAGUGUUUGCAAUAUUUGUACUUUUAGAAGAAAGCCAAAUUAAUAUUUUAGUUUGAAAAAUGUAUGAUAACUCAAUGGGAAAGAACUCUAAUGUGGUACUCUAUUCCUCCAAAACACUAAUUAUCCUAAAGCCAUUUUGUAUUUUAAACAAUGGAAGAACAGGUUAAAUAGCAAUAUUCUUAAAAAGAGUGUGGUGUCUAGUAAAGGGACAGAUAGGUUUGACUAAAAUCAGCACUUCAAAUUACCAUUAAUACACCAACUGGUUUGGCUUUCCAAUUAACUCCUAUCACAAACCCAAGCACUUGUGCGUUUGAGAGUUGAAAAGAAUAUCCACAUGAGUUAAAGUUCCCAAGGGUAUAAGUUUAUUUGUAAAACGGUUUGAAGUAAUAUGCUCUUACAGAAUUACAGAAAUAAGUUUUUAAAGGCUGCCAUUGCACAUCUUGAUCUAGUUGAACUCAUUAAAAGAAUAGGCUCAUGUGGGCAAGCAGAGAAUAUGUCCUCUGCUGAAACACAACCCUAUCUUAGGGGAAAAGUCAUGAAUGUCAAUUGUCAUUGACACUUCAAUAAUUUAAUUGUUCUUAACUUGCCAUACUACUAUUAAUAGUAGUAUACUCACAACUACUGUUAUAAUAGUAGUCGUGGGUAGCUGGAUGCAGUGGCACAUGCCUGUAAUCCCAGAAGCUCGGGAGGCUGAGAGGGGAGGACCAGCCUCACCAAAAGCUAGGCACUAAGGAACUCAGUGAGACCCUCUCUAAUAAAAUACAAAAUAGGGCUGGGGAUGUGGCCCAGUGGUAGAGUGCCCCUGAGUUUAAUUUCUUGCCAAAAGAAAGCAUUUAUUUUGUCUCUGUCAGUAUUGGUUUUGACUAUUUUUUUUUAUCUAUAUAAGUGGAAUCAUAAAGAAAGUGCUUUUCAUGUUUCCCUUUUCAGAUACACUGAUAUUUUCAACAUCAAGUAGGAAAGAAGGAGUCAGUAGGUUAAUUAAGCACAUUUUCUCAAAAGGCCUUCCCCUCCCCCAUUGUACCAGAGUGUCAUCUUUGUCACAAAUAUGUUCAUUAGCUAUAUUCUUCAAGAUUAUUGGAUUUGUUAGUCCUUGUGGGCUCUUAGGAGCAUCUUGUCAAUUACAUAUCCUGCUGGGAUAUUUAUUGGACUACACUGAAUCUAUAGUAAUUGGCAUCUUUACUAUUUAGGAAUAAAGUGCCUCUUUCUAUUAGGCCUCCUUUAAUUUUUGACUAUUGU
rnacentral:lncRNA from 1 species